rnacentral:rRNA from 1 species
CAGUAGCCGCGGGAAUACAUAGGUGGCGAGCGUUGUCCGGAUUUAUUGGGCGUAAAGGGAGUGUAGGCGGUCUUUUAAGUCUGAUGUGAAAGCCCACGGCUCAACUGUGGAGGGUCAUUGGAAACUGGGAGACUUGAGUGCAGAAGAGGAGAGCGGAAUUCCAUGUGUAGCGGUGAAAUGCGUAGAUAUAUGGAGGAACACCAGUGGCGAAGGCGACUCUCUGGUCUGUAACUGACGCUGAGGAGCGAAAGUGUGGGGAGCGAACAGGAUUAGAUACCCCGGUAGUCCCUGUCUCUUAUAC